ACACACACACUACGCAAGUAACUGUUUUCUCUGUGACUAGAUAAUUUAUUUCUAGGCAUUUAUAAUAAGUUUGUAGUUCACUUCUAGUCACAGGACCAUACAUUUCUGUUACACAAACAACCCAGGAACAAAGGGUACGAGUUUGGGUGCAAUAUCCUCAAGGUCUCCUACCUAUUCAGUCUGUGAGCUGUUAAUGAUCAAUGUGUUCCAUCGCCGCAGCACUUCAAGUGGAUUCUGAUGGCAGUAAAUGAGAGAACUGCUUGAUUCUUGUACAUUCAAGUGGCGAAACUGCAAUUAGUUCCAUUUGAUUGCUGUUAGGCUGCUUCCUAUAGCUAAAAUCGCCCUGUGGAGGUACUGUUAAUGAUUUCUAAAGCAGGGGGAGCACGGUUGCAAUGGGGAGGGGAGGCGGUGCGAUGUGCUAGAACAUAACAUUUGGUUUAAAGAUCUUUUGAGUUUUUCCAUUUGCUCAUUGUGCUACUGGAAACCCGAAGGUUACGGAAUUGGGAGCAAUGUGCGUCUUCUUUCUCUGCUUGCUACCUUCUCUGCUGCUGGUCCUGCUAAAGCUUUUGCUUAGAUGGACCUGGAUUUGUCAUCUAGCAGACAGUACUGUUCAGCAGUCGGGCCGCUGUGUGUGGGUCACGGCCUGUAGACUCCUAAAACUGCCCUACCUUACAGUAUCAGAAGACAUGGGAGAAUGUCAGAAUGGGAUCAGACUGAUCUGUAAACCCACAGCCCUUGCCAACCACCUGAAGAAACACUGCCAAGCUUUGUCGCAUCCUCCACUGGCAAGGUGGCCUCAUGAUGACCCUCAUCGUCAGAUCAUCACCAAUCUCAUGUGGCCCACAAAGGAAGGUGUUGAACUGCAAGCAGGAGUUCGCUUUACCAGGGAUAACCUUCUCCUAGAGGACGGGGGUAUUGUAGCCAUGGACUGGGCCGUGUGUCUUGCUGACCACCAAGCACAUUUUAAAAGAGAUCAUCAUCUUGGAGGAAGAGCUUCGGGGGGUCUCCCAAGCAGUCUGGCUAUUGUUAUUAUAAUUCCCAAUGCCCUGGGCAGAGUAACGCCGCACUUGCUCAGACUCUGCAACCAGGCUUUGCAAGAGGGUUUCUAUCCAGUGGUGUUCCAUCGUCGUGGUCACGGUGGUUGUCCAUUGACCACUCCACACUACCAAGAGUUUGGAAAUCCCUCAGAUCUGGUCCAAGCGGUGGCUUACUUGAGAAGUCAUCAUCCAUCCUCAACUUUGUUUGCAGUAAGCGAGGGCUCAGGAUCUGGGUUGCUGCUGUCCUAUCUUGGGGAAUGCGGCUCUUCAUCCUACCUUACGGCAGCUGCUUGCAUAUCUCCUGUUUUUCAUGGACAACUGUGGUUUGAAAACAAGCCUCCAUGGUUGUACCACUGGACAGACCUCAUCUACCGCAAGCUUCAGAUAAACAGAUACGCCACUGCUUUGAGCUCUGUAAUGGAUGUAGCAAAAAUUCUACGCUGCAGCUCCCUGAGAGACAUGGAAGAGCUCAUGUUCUGUGCUACCAAGCAGCCGGAUCACAGAUCGUCAGACUCUGUGGACUAUUCAAGAUCCUCUCAGAAGCCUGACUGGACCUGUUACUGGGAAAAGAAUGAGCCUUUGCGAGACGCGGACGAAGUGGCAGUGCCAGUGCUAUGCUUGUGUAGCCAAGAUGAUCCUCUUCUUCCACCCGUCUCCACUAUACCGGAGGCACUGUUUCACAACAGCCCUUACUUCCUGCUGGCCUUAACGGAACAGGGAGGCCACUGCAGCUUCAUGCAUGAGGAUGGACGUGGAGGCGCUACAUCCUGGAGUCACUCUGGGGUGUUGGAAUACUUCAGAAUAGUUGCUGAUUUCUUCAGGGUGGAGGAGAAGAAAGGGUUGAAAGAUGUUGCUGCACACUUUGGCAGCCAGGGCCUGAAGCAUAGCGCGAGUGCAGUCUUUUCUAAGAGGAGGAGGUCAACCUUGCUCCGCAAAGAAAGACCAAUCUUAGGCUCACGAAGACGACAGGUCUCAACUCCCUCGGAUACCUUCGAAGAGGACCAGGAGGUUUUUACUUGGAACAGAUCCUACACCCGCUAAGUGAGAGAAGCAUGUAGUGUAGUGUUCUGCUAAUGCCAAACAUCCUUCCAUAAUGCACAGAACAUACUCAAGGCAGCCAACGUUAUAGAUUAAAAAGAAGACAACAAGAAAUAAUGAUUCACAGAAAGGACAUGUACUGAAUAGCAAGGGGCUUAAUUAAGCCGACACCUAAAGAUUUUAAGUCCAACUUGCCUUAACAGACCUGCAAGGAUGUUUCUAGAAAGCCUAGUAUUUUAUGAUUAGUUAACGCAGGUGUGUCUGAUUGGGGUUGGAACUGAACUUUGAGGACACUGGCCCUCCUGAGCUAAGUUUGGACACCCCUGGAUGCUAUAUUUAGCGAUCCUAUAGUCUUUGCACAAACUAAUCACUUGGAACCAACUGGAAAAGACCUUUUCCUCUCAGUAAACAUGAUUGAACAAUA
rnacentral:lncRNA from 1 species